UCUAGUGUUUUCAUAUUCCUGCAUGCAGUUGCAUUGGUGGCAUUUCCGCACAGCUAGGAUCAGCGCCUACGAGGCGCUAGCAGCGCUUGUGUAAGCCGGAGCACGCUACAGACCAGGGUAUUCCUUCGUACAAGCGUGCUCAUGCGCGCCGCGGAAAUGUAGUUCGCCUGUGUCUGUGUGGCGGCUUCGCGCUUCACUACGCCUGUGUGAGCCUCACGCACCUUUUGCAGCAGACUCCGUUGUCUUCUGUCUCUGUGUUGAUGUUAUUAUGCAGGUUGUGCAUUUAUUAUUGUGUGUGUGUGUGUCUGCACGUAUGCUUUUCUGUCGUUCUAUAUUCCGGUAAUUCCUUGGGUAGUUUCUCUGCUGUUAACGUAAUGGUGCAACUCAUUAGGUGCGCCAAAUAAGCAACACUACUAACUCACGUUUGUGUUGAAAAUCUUUGAGCAUACAGUGGAGAUAAGUUUACAAUAAACUUGCUUCAAACACACUUUACGUAGCUGAUCAAAAUUCUUCGAGGAUGACACUGCCAGAAGAGUGUGUACCAACUUGUCCAACCUCCUGUUUACUCUGCCAUCAAGGAAAAAGUACUUCAGCACACGGUGAAAUGACUCCACCUUCAUAUUUGUGUUGACAUCAGACCCUGUACGGAAGGCAUGUGCCCAUUCUUCUGACCUCUUAGAUGUGCAGGCUCCCUGAUGCAUUUCGUGUGAAAAGAGCUGAACCACCCUGCAGGGUAUCUUCACAGAGUGCUUCACUGGUCUUGGACUCUCCUGCUUCUUUCAACAACUGAUAGUCAUGCACCCAUGACUAAGGCUGAAUAAUAAGGUGUUUUCCCCAGUCUCAGGGUUUGUUAUGAAGAUCAAUUAUCACCAGCUCGCCUGCUUUCUCACCACUCUUUACAAUAAGGUGUAUAAGCUUUAAACUUUCAGCAGACUUCGGCCAAAGUUACUACUGUCAUAUUGGCAGUGUGGGAAUGGGCACUGUGAUGGAGAAGAGUAAUUUCUCUAGGGAACACCUCUGACCUUUUUUGCAGAAAGUACGUACAGGCUUACCCUCAUGUCUGCAAUAAUGCUGGACAUUAAUCAAAACUCUUUCUUACAACAAUCUGUGUGGAUAACACGGCCUGCAUCGAAGGGCAAUACCUCCAGCCUCAUCACAAGAGAGCACGAGGCAGGGGUGGCACCUUGCGUCGCCAUGCUAUGGAGCUUCCUUUUAUUUAAACGAAUACUCAUUCCCGUGACGUUCUCCCACAGCAACAGAUACCACUCGACGCCAUGACAGCUGCAAGUGCACAAAGUACACAUCGCACACUCAAGAAGGACUGCAUUAUGUUUGCCCAAAGUUUCAUUGUGCAGCACUUAUUUGCUUUCUUAUGCACAGAAGUCUCAAUCAGCCUUGCGCUAUUGUAUCAACCUUGUACUAUUUUGGGAUACAAAAUCCUGCAGCAGCUCUGGAGGUUUGAGAUGGUAUAAAUCAGGACUUGUCAAUAUCAGACAAGUAUGUUGCAAGUGGAACAUUGUAUGGUGGGUGUGGUACCCUGUACUGUAUCUAAAUGCCAUGGAUUUGGGACAGUAAUAUCCUCGGGUACCAUUUCAAGGCACUAGUCCUGCACAGAGUGGCACAGGGGAGGGAUAUAAAUUUGUUGAAGCGGGAAGGACAGCGUGGCACAGCAGAAAAGUGCACUCGUUGCAUUUACCGUACAUGAAUACCAUCACAUAUUUUGCACUGACAAUCUCAUGUCAGGGAUGAUUGGCAAGCACUGUUUGACUAGAAAAAAUUAUCUGGGAUGGUUGGACAUGACAUGCUGGUUCAGACAUGUGACAAGACAUUUCGGUUCAUUUAUUCUGCAGUUAAAGGUCUAAAAACAUUACACAGGGGAAACACGUAUAGAACACAAUUCUACAAAUAUGAACAUAUAUGUGGCACCCUAUCAGGAAGAGCAUUUGAAGUAUUUUAAUGAGUUAGAAGUUGUUAGCAAUCUGUUUAAUGCUUGCUUAGGUAGCACAGAAGACAUUUUCAACACCCUGUUUUCUUUGUGUCAAACAGUAGCCUAGCAAAAUAUACAUUUUAAAGUACACUGCAAGAAGCCACCCCAUCAUGACUCCUAAAUAAAAUACAGUGGCCUAGUAUACCAGUGUUCCAUAUCCAUCUUUUUAGUGUGUCAUUAUUGUGCUUAGUGAGAAAAUUAAGAUGAGGCCAUCUUACCCUUCACAUUAGUUACAUUGUUAGUUUACCAAAGUACAUGUAAAGACUAGGUUGCUGUGUCUGUACAGUGUUGAGGUUCAUGAACCACAGGAGGUGCUCACAUGCAUACAUUAUGCCUCACACAGACAGCAGCAAUAUGCCGGGCAAGGGCAAAAAGGUUACUUGAAAAUCUCAGUUUAUUCUAAAUUCAUAAAUUUUUUUGAGAGUCUAGCUUCCUUCUGUUUUGUGGUCAAGGGCCUAGAAUAGGUGAUUGUAGGCCACAUGGGGCCCUCUGGCUGUGUGUUUGAGACCACUGGUUUAGAGAAACAUAGUCUGCUACACAGCUUUUAUUUGCUGCUCAGCUGGGGCCUUAUUCCCAUCAAAGUAGUUGACCUUGAUUACUUUGUGUCUUUGCCUGUCAUUGGUCAUUACGGGAAGGCACCGUGACGACCAAUGACACACGAGACACAAAGUAAUUGAGGCCGAUUACUUUGACGAGAAUAGGGCCCCUGUUCCCUUCUAUCAGAGCUGUACACGUUACCAAAAAAUAGUAACUAAAUACGUUACCCGAUACUCACAAAUAAAAGGAACGUGUUCUCAUUACUUGCAAGUAACGACUUACUUCUAUAUGUUACAUUUGCAUACCAGACAGCAGGAAUACGAAAGCAUCGCCUAUCUAUAUCGCCUACAUAUGUUGUCUUGUAUGUUGUAUUGUCUCAUGUACACUGUCGACUUGCGCUUGCAUCAAAUAAGCCCAAGGCUAUGUACACCAUACGAAGAACAGUGUUGAAGGCGGUGAUCCGUAAGAGGGAUUUUCAGGAAAAAAGCCGAGUUCAUUCACAAGGUGGCUUUCACAUGAUCAUUGACACGAGUUCCCGAGUAGAGAGACAAAGCACUAAACGCCCCGAGCGCAGUGAAUACUUGACAGAAGGAACACAUUGAGUGUAUUGAAACGCUGUGGACACUAUAGAGCAAUGAGAAAGGCAUUGCCUUCUGGUAUCCUCUUUUGCUGGGGGUUUUUCCGCAUGCUGGAGCCGCAUGGAAUACCGCCAUGUGCGCCGGAAAAACCACAACUGGCUGUCGUGGUUGGUGACAGUGAGCAAAAAGAAGGAAUGAGUAACUUGCAGUAGCGCGUUACCAAUUUUUGUAACUAAGUAUGUUCCUAGUUAUCUUUUUUAGAAAGUAACCAAGUCAUUACUUAGUUACCAAAAACACUAACGCGUUACCGAGUAAUGCGUUACAUACAGCUUUGCCAUCUGUCCCGAAUUGUUCUGAGGUAACUGGUUUACUGGCUAUAGAAGGGGUCGCAGCCCAAUCUGCUGAAUCCCUUGUUGAACUCCACGAGCCGAGCCAAGGGAGAAAUGCGCGUGGUGGUGAUUCGGCACUAUUUUUUUCCUGGGAAAAAGUUUGCAUACAUCGAUACUUGUGCUAGUCGGGAAGGUAGUGCACCGAUCUCCAGCAGGUGUCUCAAACUGAAAAUAUUUUAGACGGCCUUCCGUGCUCCUUUAAAUAGCUCCCUGCUCUGUAACUCUUGCUUUAUUUUUUGGGAGGUUAUUAAACUUUAUCUCGACUGUCCGUUAUAUUGUGUACUGUGGAGAAGUUGACAACCAUAUGCUGGCAAGUAUGCAGCCCCGUGUUAGAGUGCCCAAUUCAAGAGUCUAAGUGUUCGUUCUUUGAGAUGGACACUCUAGUAUUGCAACUGUGGAUGCUCAGAUGGGAGAUGGUUGCCCGUGGAACAAAGGCAAAGCAAAAUAAAAGGGCACAAGCAAGCUGGUGUACACUAGAAAGUGGUGACAUUUUCUCAAAGAAAUACUACCACCCUCUGAAGGAAGUAGGAUGUGCUACCUUCAAAUCGGAAGUCACAAAAAUCAUGACAUUUACCUUUUGUGAAAGUGUAAAAGUGCUCUAAGUGUUUUUCCUGCAUGUUAUUUCCCUGCUUCAGAAAUUUGUGCUAUAAGUUACGUUUCGGCAAACAGAGAGAUAAAAUUGCAUUUCUGACAAGCAAUCUGACAACACAUUUUACUGCAAAGGCUUCCUAUUACAAUGUUCACAGAGCAUUUGUCUGAUACAAGGCUGACUCGAGGCACGUGCAGCUGGUGUGAUUGCACCGGGCCCUAUGCGUCGGACAAACAACGCCGAAUAAAGCGGAAAAGAUACCACUCCCAAAGCCCACCGCACUAUCCACUACACCAGAGAUCAGACAUGCAGUGCUCUUAAUUGAGGAAAAGUGGUGGUUGACGAGAAUCGGUUGACUUAUUAGAUGUUAUUUUGGAGUUGAGAAAAUAAGGAAAGGAAAAUAGCUUUGUGAGUUUGUAAAUAUGUACCUAAUGCUACCCAACAGUUUUGUACUCAUAUGAAAAAGUGUAAAAUAGGCCAUUAAAGGAGCUAGGAACUGUAUAAAGAGAGCCCACCGAGAGUGUCUGAUCCAAACGGCGAUUUCAACGUGUUGUCUGUGACACCUUUUGUAUAUAGGUGAAUUUGAGAGGUGCGUAUCUUCAGCACAUAGCACGCUCUUAGCCAACCGUUUUCCCGAAUGACAACGUUCUCGCCCAUGAUUUGUUGAUAACGAGAGGCGGAGCCUCUUGUGUAUCUAUUAUGCGCGGCUACAAAAUGGGCUACGCCUCCC